UCCCUGGAGGACUAGUGGUUAGGCCACAGCGCUCUCGUCGCUGCUGCCCAGGUUCGAUUCCAGGCCAGGAAA
rnacentral:tRNA from 1 species